rnacentral:lncRNA from 1 species
CUUCCCACGGGAACCCUGCUGUCCUCUGCAGGCCUGAACACCUGGGUAGCAUCUCUGCUGUCAGUCCCAUGUUCAGGAAGGCUGUGACCAACCAGUUGUCCUCCUGUCAUCUCCUCCUCGCCUUUCUCCACCUGGCAUCUUCCACCCCAGGCAGCACUGUGAGGCUGCCAGGCCCUUAAACGUCGAGGCCUGCAGACAUCAUCACCUGGAAUUUGGGAUAACGAAUCCUAAAACUGGCACAACAAACAGCAAAGCAGCUCUGAGGUGCCAGCCCUACCUCACGGUGGUUGCAGCACAAGAAGUGUUCCCAGGCCGGGAAAGGAACACACUCUGCUGGACUGCCACGUGGGAUGGCAUGCUAAAAGAACGCACAGAGCUUUGGGAGCUGGGAAGCUGCUUGCCUAGUGAACUGUCACUCUAGGCAGCAGGAUGACAGCGCCCAGCAAAGCCUCGCUGCUGUACAGCAAGGACAGCAAAAAGGGGCAGAGAAAUGCCCUAAGAACAACAGCAGCGCACUGCUUUGCAGUGCUGGCAAAUGGAAGAGUCACACGUGCCACAGACCCCACUGGCAGUGAGAAGUGCCUUGGGAACGGGCAGGCAGGGGUGGAACCACCAUCCUAGCAGCACAUCUGGGCACCCUGCAAAAUACCCAGAAGCACUGGGGAUGGCGGACACAUGUGUGCUGCAGGCACAGAGACACCCAAAGCAUCUCAGCAAAGCUUCUCAGAGCUGCAAGCAGCAGCAAAGGCCUCGCGCUCAGCAAAACGUUCCUCGGCACAGAUGGGGACACGAAGGGACGCGCAAUGAAAUCCUUCCCGGGGGAUUCAAAAAUAAUAUCGUGUACAUUCCAGCUUCCCGAACAACAAUCGCCUGCAAGGCAGGCACUGUGGGAAAGUCUCAGCUUGCUUUUCCUGGGUAUUAUAAAUAGAAUUACGGCUGUGAGCAAGGCUUUCAGCACGGAGGAAGGGGGAAAGGCCAUUUGCUGGGCUGUGUUUGAACUCGGGCUCUGGCUGGAGGCCAGCUUUCUGCACAACAGCUGGUCACUUCCUGCCAAAGCAACGCAAGCGCUGGGAACCAGGGAGCCCCGAAGCAGCGCUGCCUGCAGGCUGGAGCCCGUGGACAGGGACAGGCAGCGUGAGAGAGGGCGAGUAGGUGUGAGGCUUCCCCAGAUGCGCUGCAGCUCAGCUCCCAGAGGCCUGAGGAACUUCUCUUGCAGCAGGCUGAACCCACCACAGCUCACAGCUUGCUCGCACUGCCCAGCUCCCCAGGCUCCGUGCCCCACUGCCCAUCACAAGAGCGUGCAGAGUCCUGCAAGAGGCAGCUGUGUGUGCUGAUGGCCACAUUCCCAUUUCUCUUGUCCUCCUGGCUCCUACUCGUCUGGGUUAUGGGUCCGUAUGUCCUUCUGGUUUCUAUACAUCCAGGUUAUGGGUCUGUAGGUCUUUUUGGCUCCUCCUUAUCUGCAUUAGGAGUCUGUAGGACCUUCUGGGUCCUACUCAUGUGAACGAUGGCUCUGUAGUCCUUCUGGUUUCUAUACACCUGGGUUAUGGGUCCGUAUGUCCUCCUGGCUCCUACUCAUCUGGGCUAUGGGUCAAUAGGUCCCCAGACCACCUCUGAAGUACCACUACCACGUACCAGGCAGGCUAUCACGCAUCACAGCCACGGGUGGGCCCUGCGGAGGUACCCCCGGGCCCAGGAGCAGACAGACUCACAGACCCUCAGACCCACGGAUGCUGGAACCGCCGCCGGGUCCCCGCGGCCCAACCCCCGCGAGGCGCAGGGCUGAGGGGAGAAGCGCAGCACGCAUGCGCGGCAGG